rnacentral:rRNA from 1 species
UACGGAGGGUGCAAGCGUUAAUCGGAAUUACUGGGCGUAAAGCGCACGUAGGUGGUUUGUUAAGCCAGCUGUGAAAUCCCCGGGCUCAACCUGGGCACUGCAGUUGGAACUGGCAAGCUAGAGUAGGGUAGAGGGGCGUGGAAUUCCGGGGGGAGCGGUGAAAUGCGUAGAGAUCCGGAGGAACACCGACGGCGUAGGCAGCGCCCUGGCCGUUUCCUGACGCUGAUGCACGAAAGCUGGGGGAGCAAACAGG